rnacentral:rRNA from 1 species
CCUACGGGGGACAGCAGUGGGGAAUAUUGCUCAAUGGGGGAAACCCUGAUGCAGCAACGCCGCGUGGGGGAAGAAGUAAUUCGGUUUGUAAAGCUCUAUCAUUAGAGAAGAUAAUGACGGUAUCUGAGUAAGAAGCACCGGCUAACUACGUGCCAGCAGCCGCGGUAAUACGUAGGGGGCAAGCGUUAUCCGGAUUUACUGGGUGUAAAGGGCGCGUAGACGGGAGUGCAAGUCAGGAGUGAAAUACUGUGGCUUAACCAUCGGACUGCUUUUGAAACUGUACGUCUGUAGUGCGGGAGAGGUAAGUGGAAUUCCUAGUGUAGGGGUAAAAUGCGUAGAUAUUAGGAGGAACACCAGUGGCGAAGGCGACUUACGAGACCGUAACUGACGUUGAGGCUCGAAAGCGUGGGGAGCAAACAGGAUUAGAUACCCCAGUAGUC